rnacentral:rRNA from 1 species
GACGAACGCUGGCGGCGUGCUUAACACAUGCAAGUCGAACGGAAAGGCCCUGCUUUUGUGGGGUGCUCGAGUGGCGAACGGGUGAGUAACACGUGAGUAACCUGCCCUUGACUUUGGGAUAACUUCAGGAAACUGGGGCUAAUACCGGAUAGGAGCUCCUGCUGCAUGGUGGGGGUUGGAAAGUUUCGGCGGUUGGGGAUGGACUCGCGGCUUAUCAGCUUGUUGGUGGGGUAGUGGCUUACCAAGGCUUUGACGGGUAGCCGGCCUGAGAGGGUGACCGGCCACAUUGGGACUGAGAUACGGCCCAGACUCCUACGGGAGGCAGCAGUGGGGAAUAUUGCACAAUGGGCGGAAGCCUGAUGCAGCAACGCCGUGUGCGGGAUGACGGCCUUCGGGUUGUAAACCUCUUUCGCCUGUGACGAAGCGUGAGUGACGGUAAUGGGUAAAGAAGCACCGGCUAACUACGUG